UACGUAGGGAGCAAGCGUUGUCCGGAAUCAUUGGGCGUAAAGCGCGCGUAGGUGGCUUCGUAAGUCCGUUGUGAAAGUCAAAGGCUCAACCUUUGAAAGCCGAUGGAUACUGUGAAGCUAGAGUACGGAAGAGGCGAGUGGAAUUCCUGGUGUAGCGGUGGAAUGCGCAGAUAUCAGGAGGAACACCAAUAGCGAAGGCAGCUCGCUGGGACGUUACUGACACUGAGGCGCGAAAGCGUGGGGAGCGAACAGG
rnacentral:rRNA from 1 species